rnacentral:rRNA from 1 species
UACGUAGGGGGCGAGCGUUAUCCGGAUUCACUGGGUGUAAAGGGAGCGUAGACGGCCAUGCAAGCCAGGGGUGAAAGCCCGGGGCCCAACCCCGGGACUGCCCUUGGAACUGCAUGGCUGGAGUGCGGGAGGGGCAGGCGGAAUUCCUGGUGUAGCGGUGAAAUGCGUAGAUAUCAGGAGGAACACCGGCGGCGAAGGCGGCCUGCUGGACCGCGACUGACGUUGAGGCUCGAAAGCGUGGGGAGCGAGCAGG